GGCUUCAAUGAUAUGCUCUGCCCGGUGGCCUCCAGGAUCAGCCUCGACUCAUGAAGAACACCCAAGGGACCUGACUUAAUGAUGAGGAUGAUGUUGGAGGAAUCGGAGUGGUCACUGAAGAUCGUGGACUCGCAUCCGCCAUUGCUGGAAGUUUGAACUUCGAGAGGGCAGAGCGAUCCCGUAUGAGAAGACCACCGAUGUGAUCAUAGCAUUUUCUCUGGGCGUACCUUCUGGCACGACACCGCCAUCCGACACAAGUUUGGUCGGCGAAGCAGCUCUGCUUGCUCUGGCACU